rnacentral:rRNA from 1 species
AUUGAACGCUGGCGGCAUGCCUAACACAUGCAAGUCGAACGAGACCUUCGGGUCUAGUGGCGCACGGGUGCGUAACGCGUGGGAAUCUGCCCUUGGGUUCGGAAUAACUCGCCGAAAGGCGUGCGAAUACCGGAUGAUGUCGUAAGACCAAAGAUUUAUCGCCCAAGGAUGAGCCCGCGUAAGAUUAGGUAGUUGGUGAGGUAAAGGCUCACCAAGCCGACGAUCUUUAGCUGGUCUGAGAGGAUGAUCAGCCACACUGGGACUGAGACACGGCCCAGACUCCUACGGGAGGCAGCAGUGGGGAAUAUUGGACAAUGGGCGAAACCCUGAUCCAGCAAUGCCGCGUGAGUGAUGAAGGCCUUAGGGUUGUAAAGCUCUUUUACCCGGGAUGAUAAUGACAGUACCGGGAGAAUAAGCCCCGGCUAACUCCGUGCCAGCCGCCGCGGUAAUAC